GAACGCAUAUUGCGCUCUUUGGUAUUCCGAAGAGCAUGCUUGUUUGAGUAUCAGUAAACACCUCAAAGACUUCAAUUUGUUUUGAAUGGCUUUGGACUUGAGCAAUCCCAACACCAGUCUUUACGAUCGGUGGAGGGUUGCUUGAAAUGCAGGUGCAGCUGGACAUUCUCCUGAGCUAAAAGCAUAUUUAUUUAGUCCCGUCAAACGGAUUAUUACUUUUGCUGCAGCUAACAUAAAGGGAGUUUGACCGUAUUGGCUGACUGAUGCAGGAUUUCACAAGGGUCGGCAACGAUUCUUGUAAAACUCGAUCUCAAAUCAAGUAAGACUACCCGCUGAACUUAAG
rnacentral:misc_RNA from 1 species